AGGGGUAUAGCUCGGUGGUAGAGCAUUCGACUGCAGAUCGAGAGAUCAUCCCGGUUCGAACCAGGAUGCUCCCU